GACGAACGCUGGCGGCGUGCUUAACACAUGCAAGUCGAACGGAAAGGCCCCUUUGGGGGUACUCGAGUGGCGAACGGGUGAGUAACACGUGAGUAACCUGCCCUUGACUUCGGGAUAACUUCAGGAAACUGGGGCUAAUACCGGAUAGGAAUCCUUGCUGCAUGGUGGGGGUUGGAAAGCUUCGGCGGUUUUGGAUGGACUCGCGGCUUAUCAGCUUGUUGGUGGGGUAGUGGCUUACCAAGGCUUUGACGGGUAGCCGGCCUGAGAGGGCGACCGGCCACAUUGGGACUGAGAUACGGCCCAGACGCCGACGGGAGGCAGCAGUGGGGAAUAUUGCACAAGGGGCGGAAGCCUGAUGCAGCAACGCCGCGGGCGGGAGGACGGCCUUCGGGUUGGAAACCGCUUUCAGCAGGGGCGAAGCUUGUGGUGACGGUACCUGCAGAAGAAGCACCGGCUAACUACGUG
rnacentral:rRNA from 1 species